UCAGGCGCGCCGGGACGGGCCCGGAGGCCUGUCGGUCACCGGCCUCCACCGCCCCUGGCGGGGGCGGGCCUGACCUGCCCUAGCCCGCCCCUUCCCCGACGCCCAGAGCGCGGCUCUCCCAGCCGCUGGCUGCACCCGCGCGUUCCCAGCGAGCCGCACUCUCCCAGUCCCCCAACCCCACCCCGGGCGCCGCGAGAUCCCGGCUAGGUUGGUGGGCGGGGGUCAAGCUGGCGGUGAGUUGGGCCUCCCGCGGGGAAUCCGGGCCCGCGUGGGACUGGCCUGUUAACUCUUUUCGGGCUGGAGACAAGAGCGCGCGCGAUGGACCAGCUCGGCGGCCCCUGUCCCAGGAUGCGCUUGCCCUGAGGCCGGGCCUCCGCAGCUGCCUGCAUGUGAUCCAGGAUCUCAGGCAGAUCCUCAGUAAAGACUCAGAGAAUGGACUUCUCUGCAAUGGACUUCUCUGCAGAUUGUCCCCUCGUCCAGGGAGAGGGACCAAGAGUCCUUGACAGAUGGAUCUGAAUUCCCCAACUAGGGAUUGAAUCUGAGCCCUUGAGGGGAACGCAGAGUUCUA